ACAAUGUAGAAGCAGAUGAAUAAUCAUCUGAUCUAGCCUUCGUACAGGAAACAAUAAUAAUAUGUUGGACAAUUAUCAAUUUAUGAAAAGAUGUUUAAAAGGGAAUGUAUUAGAAACCGAUAAACGAUUUUCUUGUCCUUGUAUAGUUUUGAAGCCACCUUUGCAGCGAUAUCCAUGAAUAAAUUAGAAGGACCCACAUCAUUGGAUAGUAAUGGCUAAUAGUAAAUUUGAACAUAAUCAGAGUUGAAUGGAGGAAACCAGCUUUGAUCAGUUUUGAACUAAGGCUUAGUUGAGUUGAGUGGUAUCGCCAUUGGACAUUCCUAAGUUAUUCAUUGAAAAAUGCUACUCACAGAGCAAUCAUCAUGAACACGCCAAAUUGU
rnacentral:misc_RNA from 1 species